UCCUACGGGAGGCAGCAGUGGGGAAUAUUGGACAAUGGGGGCAACCCUGAUCCAGCCAUGCCGCGUGAGUGAUGAAGGCCUUCGGUUGUAAAGCUCUUUUGGCGGGGACGAUGAUGACGGUACCCGCAGAAUAAGCCCCGGCUAACUUCGUGCCAGCAGCCGCGGUA
rnacentral:rRNA from 1 species